UGUUUCGAGCCCCUAAAGUGCUAGGGGUAAUAACAGCUAUCAUGUGCUCUUGUAGAUGAAUAAGAUAUUCCCGAAGAAUGUCCAGAGAGGUUUCCAGGAACUGCUUAAUGAAGGGUCCAAUUUCUUCUGAAGUUGAAGCUUUCAAAUUUGUAUAACACAUGUGCAUAACCUCCAGUUCAGUUGGAACAAUGUUCAAGAGUAGAUGUGCUAGCUUGAAGAGUCGAGAGUNNNNN
rnacentral:lncRNA from 1 species